rnacentral:tmRNA from 1 species
GGGGGCGACUGGUUUCGACAUGGUAAGUUUGAAGUGAGGAGCAGGUCGUGGUCUCCUCUCCACGUUAAACAGGGGUGCUGUCAAGUUAAUUGGCAAGAACAACACUCAGAGCGCUCCGGCGCUCGCCAUGGCUGCUUAGUUUCAGCCUGGCUGUCGGCUGAGAGUUCUUCCCUGACGCUCAGCUCGGCAUCAUUUGAGGGGAAUGCUCCUCGGCACGUAGCCGGUAUGGCCGAGGAAAAGAUCGAACCGGCUCGGAGCGGCAACGUUGGUCUGCGAACCGACCCGCUCUCAGCUUCGAUCGCCGACUAAGCUUGUAGAGCCUCACGGAGAAUUUAGUAUGGACCGGAGUUCGAUUCUCCGCGCCUCCACCA